GCAUAGGUAGCUAAGUGUCCUAAAGCUCUCACUGCAACUCUCUGUUCAACCCAAGUUAGCCUACCUCUCAAGAGUUCAACUAAAGGAGGGAUGAUUCCAGCACGCACAGCUCUAUCAGCAAAUUCUUCCAUAUUCAUGGUAUAUGAUCCAAUUAUAUGUGCUGCAUAAUAAGGAAUAUAUAUAUUUUGGUCAUGUGAAAGCCACCGGCGGUUCUUUAAACCCUUCCAAAUAAGUGCUGACAUGCAUUCAAAAAUCCCCAAUUCAAUAAACUCCGGAUCGUUAGGAUGUGCCAUGGCUGUGUUCCAUAGGCCACUGAUGGGAAGAACUUGACCAUCAUCAUCCUGUGAAGGAAGU
rnacentral:misc_RNA from 1 species